AGUAACGCGUAGGAAUCUAGUCCUUGGGUGGGGGACAACCGUGGGAAACUACGGCUAAUACCGCAUGAUCCCUGAGGGGCAAAGGCGAAAGUCGCCUGAGGAGGAGCCUGCGUCUGAUUAGGUAGUUGGUGGGGUAAAGGCCUACCCAAGCCUGCGAUCAGUAGCUGGUCUGAGAGGAUGAUCAGCCACACUGGGACUGAGACACGGCCCAGACUCCUACGGGAGGCAGCAGUGGGGAAUAUUGGACAAUGGGCGCAAGCCUGAUCCAGCAAUGCCGCGUGGGUGAAGAAGGUCUUCGGAUUGUAAAGCCCUUUCGACGGGGACGAUGAUGACGGUACCCGUAGAAGAAGCCCCGGCUAACUUCGUG
rnacentral:rRNA from 1 species